rnacentral:tRNA from 1 species
GGGCUGUUAGCUCAGUUGGUUAGAGCGCCUGCUUUACACGCAGGAGGUCGCGGGUUCGAGCCCCUCACAGCCCACCA